GCGAUUAUGGCGAAGUGGUUAACGCACCGGAUUGUGGUUCCGGCAUACAUGGGUUCGAUCCCCAUUAAUCGCCCCA
rnacentral:tRNA from 1 species